rnacentral:rRNA from 1 species
GACGAACGCUGGCGGCGUGCUUAACACAUGCAAGUCGAACGGUGAAGCUCCAAGCUUGCUUGGGGUGGAUCAGUGGCGAACGGGUGAGUAACACGUGAGUAACCUGCCCCGGACUCUGGAAUAAGCGCUGGAAACGGCGUCUAAUACUGGAUAUGACAUCAAGCCGCCUGGUUAUGGUGUGGAAAGUUUUUCGGUCCGGGAUGGGCUCGCGGCCUAUCAGCUUGUUGGUGAGGUAAUGGCUCACCAAGGCGACGACGGGUAGCCGGCCUGAGAGGGCGACCGGCCACACUGGGACUGAGACACGGCCCAGACUCCUACGGGAGGCAGCAGUGGGGAGUAUUGCACAAUGGGCGAAAGCCUGAUGCAGCGACGCCGCGUGAGGGAUGACGGCCUUCGGGUUGUAAACCUCUUUCAGCAGGGAAGAAGCGAAAGUGACGGUACCUGCAGAAGAAGCACCGGCUAACUACGUGCCAGCAGCCGCCGUAAUAC